GCUGGGUGUGGUGGCGCACACCUGUAAUCCCAGCUACUUGGGAGGCUGAGGCAGGAGAAUCACUUGAACCCGGGAGUUAGAGGUUGCAUGAGCCAAGAUCAUGACAAUGCACUCCAGCCUGGGCAACAGAGUGAGACUCCGUCUCAA
rnacentral:SRP_RNA from 1 species